CGCGCAUCGGUCCCCGCUGAAAACCGCGCGGAAACCGUUGCAGGGACCGGUUUCGUUACGAAUAACGAGUUCAAUCGCGGGGCAAUCGGUCGGAUGGCGCUCGUAUCGCCGGCGCCUACCCGCAGGAUGUAUUCCAGUCGAAUACCAACGCGUUGUUCAAUCCGUUUGCGAAAAAUUACAGUCCGUCAAUUCGGAAACCCCACGGACGGUUUUUGUCGUAAAGCUCGUUCCGACCGCCUCGACUGGGUACGCGGUACGUUCCGUUCGCGAUGG